rnacentral:rRNA from 1 species
UAGGGAAUCUUCGGCAAUGGACGGAAGUCUGACCGAGCAACGCCGCGUGAGUGAAGAAGGUUUUCGGAUCGUAAAGCCCUGUUGUUAGAGAAGAACGUUGGUAGGAGUGGAAAAUCUACCAAGUGACGGUAACUAACCAGAAAGGGACGGCUAACUACGUGCCAGCAGCCGCGGUAAUACGUAGGUCCCGAGCGUUGUCCGGAUUUAUUGGGCGUAAAGCGAGCGCAGGCGGUUCUUUAAGUCUGAAGUUAAAGGCAGUGGCUUAACCAUUGUACGCUUUGGAAACUGGAGGACUUGAGUGCAGAAGGGGGGAGUGGAAUUCCAUGUGUAGCGGUGAAAUGCGUAGAUAUAUGGAGGAACACCGGUGGCGAAAGCGGCUCUCUGGUCUGUAACUGACGCUGAGGCUAGAAAGCGUGGGGAGCAAACAGG